rnacentral:rRNA from 1 species
GAUGAACGCUGGCGGCGUGCCUAAUACAUGCAAGUCGAGCGAACAGACGAGGAGCUUGCUCCUCUGACGUUAGCGGCGGACGGGUGAGUAACACGUGGAUGACCUACCUAUACGACUGGGAUGACUUCGGGAAACCGGAGCUAAUACCGGAUAAUAUAUUGAACCGCAUGGGUCAAUAGUGAAAGACGGUUUUGCUGUCGCUUAUAGAUGGAUCCGCGCCGCAUUAGCUAGUUGGUAAGGUAACGGCUUACCAAGGCAACGAUGGUAAGCCGCCCUGAGAGCGUGAUCGCCCACCUUGUCUCUGAGACAGGGCCGAGACUCUGGCGCUGGGACGCAGUCGGGACUCUUACGCAAUGGGGCAGAGCUUGAUGGAGGAACGUCGCCUGAGGCAUGAACGACCUCUGCCCCUUAAGCGCUGUUAUUAUUGAAGAAGUAAUGCGCAAUUACCCAUGCUGGUAAUGACGGUACCGAAUCAGAAAGCCCCGGCUAACUCCGUG